rnacentral:rRNA from 2 species
AAAUUGAAGAGUUUGAUCAUGGCUCAGAUUGAACGCUGGCGGCAGGCCUAACACAUGCAAGUCGAACGGUAACAGGAAACAGCUUGCUGUUUCGCUGACGAGUGGCGGACGGGUGAGUAAUGUCUGGGAAACUGCCUGAUGGAGGGGGAUAACUACUGGAAACGGUAGCUAAUACCGCAUAAUGUCGCAAGACUAAAGAGGGGGACCUUCGGGCCUCUUGCCAUCGGAUGUGCCCAGAUGGGAUUAGCUAGUAGGUGGGGUAACGGCUCACCUAGGCGACGAUCCCU